GCCCUGGCAGUCAGAGGCGAUGAAGGACGUGCUAAUCUGCGAUAAGCGUCGGUAAGGUGAUAUGAACCGUUAUAACCGGCGAUUUCCGAAUGGGGAAACCCAGUGUGUUUCGACACACUAUCAUUAACUGAAUCCAUAGGUUAAUGAGGCGAACCGGGGGAACUGAAACAUCUAAGUACCCCGAGGAAAAGAAAUCAACCGAGAUUCCCCCAGUAGCGGCGAGCGAACGGGGAG
rnacentral:rRNA from 1 species